rfam:Strigamia maritima strain Brora ctg7180001229158, whole genome shotgun sequence.
UCCCAGGUAGCUUAAUGGCAAAGCACCCAACCGGCAAUUGGGAGAUCUGGGUUCAAGUCCCGGUCCGGGCU